CGGAGGCAGCAGUGGGGAAUUGUUCGCAAUGGGCGCAAGCCUGACGACGCAACGCCGCGUGGAGGAUGAAGAUCUUCGGGUCGUAAACUCCUUUCGAUCGAGACGAACGGCCCUGGGGUGAAUAAUCCCGGGGAGUGACGGUACCGAGAGAAGAAGCCCCGGCUAACUCCGUGCCAGCAGCCGCGGUAAUACGGGGGGGGCAAGCGUUGUUCGGAAUUACUGGGCGUAAAGGGCUCGUAGGCGGCCAACUAAGUCGGACGUGAAAUCCCUCGGCUUAACCGGGGAACUGCGUCCGAUACUGGAUGGCUUGAGUGUGGGAGAGGGAUGCGGAAUUCCAGGUGUAGCGGUGAAAUGCGUAGAUAUCUGGAGGAACACCGGUGGCGAAGGCGGCAUCCUGGACCAUGACUGACGCUGAGGAGCGAAAGCCAGGGGAGCAAACGGGAUUAGAUACCCCGGU
rnacentral:rRNA from 1 species